ACGGAUAACAUACCGAAAGGUAUGCUAAUACGGGAUAAUAUAUUUGAGAGGCAUCUCUUAAAUAUCAAAGGUGAGCCAGUACAGGAUGGACCCGCGUCUGAUUAGCUAGUUGGUAAGGUAACGGCUUACCAAGGCGACGAUCAGUAGCCGACCUGAGAGGGUGAUCGGCCACAUUGGAACUGAGACACGGUCCAAACUCCUACGGGAGGCAGCAGUGGGGAAUAUUGCACAAUGGGCGAAAGCCUGAUGCAGCAACGCCGCGUGAGUGAUGAAGGCCUUCGGGUCGUAAAACUCUGUCCUCAAGGAAGAUAAUGACGGUACUUGAGGAGGAAGCCCCGGCUAACUACGUGCCAGCAGCCGCGGUAAUACGUAGGGGGCUAGCGUUAUCCGGAUUUACUGGGCGUAAAGGGUGCGUAGGCGGUCUUUCAAGUCAGGAGUGAAAGGCUACGGCUCAACCGUAGUAAGCUCUUGAAACUGGGAGACUUGAGUGCAGGAGAGGAGAGUGGAAUUCCUAGUGUAGCGGUGAAAUGCGUAGAUAUUAGGAGGAACACCAGUUGCGAAGGCGGCUCUCAGGACUGUAACUGACGCUGAGGCACAAAAGCGUGGGGAGCAAACAGGAUUAGAUACCCUGGUAGUCCACGCUGUAAACGAUAAUAAGAGGUGUCGGGGGUUACCCCCUUCGGUGCCGCAG
rnacentral:rRNA from 1 species